rnacentral:rRNA from 1 species
GACGAACGCUGGCGGCGUGCUUAACACAUGCAAGUCGAACGGUGAAGCGCCUUCCUUUUUGGUGGGUGUGGAUGAGUGGCGAACGGGUAAGUAACACGUGAGUAACCUGCCCCCUUCUUCUGGAUAACCGCAUGAAAGUGUGGCUAAUACGGGAUAUUCUGGGUCUGUCGCAUGAUGGGUCUGGGAAAGAUAUUGUUUCGGUGGGGGAUGGGCUCGCGGCCUAUCAGCUUGUUGGUGGGGUGAUGGCCUACCAAGGCGGUGACGGGUAGCCGGCCUGAGAGGGUGGACGGUCACACUGGGACUGAGACACGGCCCAGACUCCUACGGGAGGCAGCAGUGGGGAAUAUUGCACAAUGGGCGCAAGCCUGAUGCAGCGACGCCGCGUGAGGGAUGGAGGCCUUCGGGUUGUGAACCUCUUUCGCCAGUGAAGCAGGCCUGCCUCGUUUGUGGGUGGGUUGACGGUAGCUGGAUAAGAAGCGCCGGCUAACUACGUG